CCAAAAAAUAAAAUCCCUUUAAGCGUACCAAUGGGUAAUCUGGACAAUAGUUUUGAAUUAUUCUCUUUAUUUUUUAUGUAGACUGAGGAGUUACACAUAGUCAAUAUCAGUGUCAGUAACCUUUCAUGGCAUUAAAUAUGUAGUCAAAAGAAUCGCUUGGGGCUUUCUCCAUCACAUGUUUGUGCUUGAGACUCUAGACUAGAACCAACAUAGGGCACAGUUGAAACUUAGUCCUGAAGUAAAUGUUCUCUGCACCAUGGGUACCGUGGAAUAAAUCAUAGCCCCAUAGUCCUCCCAUUCUACCACAGAAUGUUUUUUAUAUGAAACUGAGUAUAUAUUGAUAUACCUCUGAAUAGAUCUGCCAUCGAAGGAUUAGCCAGCCAGCCAGAUAUUGUACAUACAGUGGGAGAAUAGAGGUCAUAGAGCACCUAAACUUGUAUCUGUUAAACCAGGGAUGUCCAACUCGGGCACUUCAUAUGUUCAUGGACUACAAUUCCCAUCAGCCUCUGCUGGCAUGGCCAAUUGGGCUGAUGGGAAUUUGUAGUCCAUGAACAUCUGAAGCGCCCGAGUUGGACACCCCUGUGUUAAACCCACUGUACAGCAUACGGGCUAGGGCCACUUACAAAGUAAACCUUCACUCAGGUAGUAGCUAAGUGAGAUCUUCAUUUUAGAGUUUAUUUUCCAGUCCCAUCUUAAGAGUGAGUAGCUCCCACUCGGGAGCCCUUGAUGAAGACUUUGCUGAUUAGCGUGAGAAGAUUCGCCUUGCUUUUGUUUCUUUUUUAGUGGUGAGGCCAAGCAUUCCUGUAGAGGUGGCUGAAGCAGAUAUUUUGAAAAGGUAGUGGUGCUUCAGUGAGCCAUGGAGAGGGGAAAGCUUGUGUAAUUUAAAGGCCUAGUCUUAAUACAUCAAAAGUGUUCCUAAAAGAUGGCAAAAAGUAUUUGCUCCUUUGAAGUGUUACUGAAGUGACUGUGCUUGGAGAUGAGCUUGAGAUCAAAAUGUGUUUUACGAAACUUGUAUUCAUUUACCUCAAAAUACUUUGUAUCGUGACUUUUGAAUAAAGGUUUUGUCCUUCACCUGCUUAAUAAAAGUAUUCUGAAAUAUAA